UACCUGGUUGAUCCUGCCAGUAGUCAUAUGCUUGUCUCAAAGAUUAAGCCAUGCAAGUCUAAGUACGAGCUCUCGUACAGUGAAACUGCGAAUGGCUCAUUAAAUCAGUUAUGGUUCAUUUGAUCGUACAGUUUACUUGGAUAACUGUGGUAAUUCUAGAGCUAAUACAUGCGAGAAGCGCCGACCUCGCGGGAGGCGUGCAUUUAUCAGACCAAAAACCGGCCGCGUCUUCGGGCGCGUUCGCCUUGGUGACUCUGGAUAACUUUGCGGAUCGCACGGUCUAGCACCGGCGACGGAUCAUUCAAGUGUCUGCCCUAUCAACUUUCGUCGGUACGGUAUUUGCCUACCGAGGUUCUUACGGGUGACGGGGUAAUCAGGGUUCGAUUCCGGAGAGGGAGCCUGAGAAACGGCUACCACAUCCAAGGAAGGCAGCAGGCGCGCAAAUUACCCAUUCCCGACGCGGGGAGGUAGUGACGAAAAAUAACAAUGCAGGACUCGUUCGAGGCCCUGUAAUUGGAAUGAGUACACUUUAAAAGCUUUAACGAGUAUCCAUUGGAGGGCAAGUCUGGUGCCAGCAGCCGCGGUAAUUCCAGCUCCAAAAGUAUAUAUUUAAGUUGUUGCGGUUAAAAAGCUCGUAGUUGGAUUUUGGGCGCAGGCGGCCGGUCCGUCGCAAGGCGUGUACUGGACGUCCUGGCCUUCCCUCCGGUUCUCCGCCGGUGCUCUUGACUGAGUGUCGGCGGCGGCCGGAACGUUUACUUUGAAAAAAUUAGAGUGUUCAAAGCAGGCUCUCGAGCCUGGAUAAUGGUGCAUGGAAUAAUGGAAUAGGACCUCGGUUCUAUUUUGUUGGUUUUCGGAGCGCGAGGUAAUGAUUAAGAGGGACAGACGGGGGCAUUCGUACUGUGCCGUUAGAGGUGAAAUUCUUGGAUCGGCGCAAGACGAACGACUGCGAAAGCAUUUGCCAAGAAUGUUUUCUUUAAUCAAGAGCGAAAGUCAGAGGUUCGAAGACGAUCAGAUACCCGUCCUAGUUCUGACUAUAAACGAUGCCAA
rfam:Ciona savignyi cont_42648, whole genome shotgun sequence.